GGGCAGAUGGCCGAGUUGGUCUAAGGCGCCAGAUUAAGGGCUCUGGUCUCUCCGGAGGCGUGGGUUCGAAUCCCACUCUGCUCA